CAAUAGCCUUAUAGAAAAGGUGUACAGUCGCCCUAAGCACUGCGCCUUUGUGACGGUAGCCUACGCCUCGUUCAGCAAAUGUCCUUUACAAGUACUGGGCAGGGACCAUGGCGCCAAUAUAAUGAGGGCAAUGAGCGUUCGAAUCAGUCAUCUGUCACACUACUAACUAGGCAUGAAUGCGUGCAUGAUGGAGGCCCUGGACCGGAGUUGCCAAGACGGUCAGAACUGAAGAAUUGCCGGAGGAGCUCGUGUUCCGUGAUUGUUUUUGCAUGAGUAUGCCUGCACUGCACUGCACCCUCUCAUUGCACAACUGUGACGGAUGGGCGCUGGUUCCGCACAUGCCGAGUGUCUGCUGCCACGCUCUCCCGACGCCGAGCCGAGCCCGCGGCCAACUACAGGCAAGCAC
rnacentral:lncRNA from 7 species